rnacentral:rRNA from 1 species
CGCAAAACGGGGAUUAGAUACCCCGGUAGUCCAGGGUGUAAACGCUGCCGACUUGGUGUUGGAGGCCCUUCGGGGGCAUUCAGUGCCGGAGAGAAGUUGUUAAGUCGGCUACUUGGGGAGUACGUCCGCAAGGAUGAAACUUAAAGGAAUUGGCGGGGGAGCACCGCAACGGGAGGAGCGUGCGGUUUAAUUGGAUUCAACACCGGAAAACUCACCAAGGGCGACUAUCACAUGAAAGCCAGGCUAACGACCUUGCUUGAUUCUUAGAGAGGUGGUGCAUGGCCGUCGUCAGUUCGUACCGUAAGGCGUUCUCUUAAGUGAG